AUUGAACGCUGGCGGCAGGCCUAACACAUGCAAGUCGAACGGUAACAGGGAUCAGCUUGCUGAUUCGCUGACGAGUGGCGGACGGGUGAGUAAUGUGUGGGAAACUGCCUGAUGGAGUGGGAUAACUACUGGAAACGGUAGCUAAUACCGCAUAACGUCGCAAGAACAAAGAGGGGGACCUUCGGGCCUCUUGCAAUCGGAUGUGCCCAGAUGGGAUUAGCUAGGAGGGGGGUUAAAGGCUGACCUAGGUGACGAUCCCUAGCUGGUCUGAGGGGAUGGCCAGCUACCCGGCAAGUGAGGCACGUUCCAGACUCCUACGGGAGGCAGCAGUGGGGACUAUUGCGCGAUGGGGCCAAGCCUGAUGCUGCCAUGCCGCGUGUAUGAAGAUGGCCUUCGGGUUGUAAAGUACUGUCAGCUGGGAGUAAGGGAGUAAAGAUAAUCCCUUUGCUCAUUGACGUUACCCGCAGAAGAAGCCCCGGCUAACUCCGUG
rnacentral:rRNA from 1 species